CGCCCUUAGAGUUUGAUCAUGGCUCAGAUUGAACGCUGGCGGCAGGCUUAACACAUGCAAGUCGAACGGUAUAGGUGCUUGCACCUGACGAGUGGCGGACGGGUGAGUAAUGUAUGGGGAUCUGCCGAAUGGAUUGGGACAACCACUGGAAACGGUGGCUAAUACCGAAUAAUGUUGAGAGACCAAAGUGUUUCGACAUGCCAUUUGAUGAACCCAUAUAGGAUUAGCUAGUAUGCGGGGUAAUGGCCCACCUAGGCGACAAUCUCUAGCUGGUCUGAGAGGAUGACCAGCCACACUGGGACUGAGACACGGCCCAGACUCCUACGGGAGGCAGCAGUGGGGAAUAUUGCACAAUGGGGGAAACCCUGAUGCAGCCAUGCCGCGUGUAUGAAGAAGGCCUUCGGGUUGUAAAGUACUUUCGGUAGUGAGGAAGGUUACUAUUAACAUAGUAAAUUGACGUUAAUUACAGAAAAAGCACCGGCUAACUCCGUGCCAGCAGCCGCGGUAAUACGGAGGGUGCGAGCGUUAAUCGGAAUGACUGGGCGUAAAGGGCAUGUAGUGGAUAAUUAAGUUAGGUGUGAAAGCCCCGAGCUCAACUUGGGAAUUGCACUUAAAACUGGUU
rnacentral:rRNA from 1 species